rnacentral:sRNA from 1 species
UUCCCGCAACUGCCGAGGCUAGAGCCGCU